ACGAUUUUGAAGCAGUGAAACAGUAUUCACAAGAAAUCCUUCGAAUAACUUCAAAGAAAGAAUUCUUAGAGAUGAUGAGAUUCCAGACCAUUUUCUUAUCGAUGGCAGUGACCACAAUGAUAGUAGCCGCAUACUCACCAACAGAAAAGCAUGCAGUAGACAUUCAUGGAGUGAAGAAGAUUUUACAGGUCGAAAAUACAUCUGGAAGAGCUA